UACGAUAAGAAUAACGAGGCUAAAUACAAAAUAUUACAGUAUAGAGUCAAUGUGGAGGCUAUAUACAGGGUAUUACAGUACAGAGUCAAUGUGGAGGCUAUAUACAGGGUAUUAUGGUACAGAGUCAAUGUGGAGGCUAUAUACAGGGUAUUAUGGUACAGAGUCAGUGUGCAGGGGUACAGGUUAGUCGAGGUAAUUGUACAUGUAGGUAGGGGUAAAGUGACUUUGUGUGUAAAAACAAAAGGGGGGGGUCAAUGUGGAGGCUAUAUACAGGGUUUUACAGUACUGAGUCAAUGUGGAGGCUAUAUACAGGGUUUUACAGUACUGAGUCAAUGUGGAGGCUAUAUACAGGGUUUUACAGUACUGAGUCAAUGUGGAGGCUAUAUACAGGGUGUUAUGGUACUGAGUCAAUGUGGAGGCUAUAUACAGGGGGUACCGGUACAGAGUCAAAGUGGAGGCUAUAUACAGGGUGUUACAGUACAGAGUCAAUGUGGAGGCUAUAUACAGGGGGUACCGGUACAGAGUCAGUGUGGAGGCUAUAUACAGGGUGUUACAGUACAGAGUCAAAGUGGAGGCUAUAUACAGGGGGUACCGGUACAGAGUCAAUGUGGAGGCUAUAUACAGGGUGUUACAGUACAGAGUCAAAGUGGAGGCUAUAUACAGGGGGUACCGGUACAGAGUCAAUG
ensembl:lncRNA